UCGUGCCUGGCUCCCUGUAUGCCACACAUAUAGACCAAUCCAUGGAGUGAUUAGCUAGUGUGGGUGGCGUGCAAGGAGCCAAGCAUGC
rnacentral:pre_miRNA from 1 species